rfam:Erwinia billingiae strain Eb661 complete chromosome.
AUGAGGUCUGAAGACAUGAUUCGUACCGCUCGCCUACUCGGUCUACUACUAAACGCAUCCCAAUUGCGCGGUAGACUUGUGGGCGAAGAAAUGAAUCAGUGAUUCAGGCUUACAAACCUAAAGAACCCGCGCCGAUGCGCGGGUUUUUUU